rnacentral:rRNA from 1 species
UACGUAGGGGGCUAGCGUUAUCCGGAAUUACUGGGCGUAAAGGGUGCGUAGGUGGUUUCCUAAGUCAGAGGUGAAAGGCUACGGCUCAACCGUAGUAAGCCUUUGAAACUGGGAAACUUGAGUGCAGGAGAGGAGAGUGGAAUUCCCGGUGUAGCGGUGAAAUGCGUAGAGAUCGGGAGGAACACCAGUGGCGAAGGCGGGUAACUGGACUGCAACUGACGCUGAUGCGCGAAAGUGUGGGGAGCAAACAGGAUUAGAUACCCCUGUAGUCCCUGAGCGGGCU